rnacentral:rRNA from 1 species
AGAGAGAGACAUGCGCGCAUAUCAAUAAGCGGAGGAAAAGAAACUAACAAGGAUUCCCCCUAGUAACGGCGAGUGAAGCGGGAAGAGCUCAAAUUUGAAAUCUUAAAGGGUUUCCCUUUACGAAUUGUAGUUUAAAGAAGUGUUUUCUGUUGAGGUUUUGGUAAAAGUUCUUUGGAAUAGGACAUCAUAGAGGGUGAGAAUCCCGUAUUUGACCAUUACUUUCCAACUUUGUGAUACACUUUCAAAGAGUCGGAUUGUUUGGGAAUGCAGUCCAAAAUGGGUGGUAAAUUUCAUCUAAAGCUAAAUAUUGGCGAGAGACCGAUAGCGAACAAGUACCGUGAGGGAAAGAUGAAAAGAACUUUGAAAAGAGAGUUAAACAGUACGUGAAAUUGUCAAAAGGGAAGCGUUUGACACCAGUGUUGUUUUUCUGAAAAUCAAUUAAAGAACUGUUUAUGCUAAGCUGUUUAGACUUUAUCAGCUAUCUGUUUAGUUUUGAGCUUUUCUUUAAUGCACUUUUCAGUUAACAAGUCAACAUCAAUUUCUUUUGCUGUAAAAAAGCUUGAGGAAGGUGGCUUGAGAUUCGUCUUAAGUGUUUAUAGCCUCUUGCCUAUGCAGUCGGAGAGAUUGAGGUCUGCAGCGUAGAUCCUUCGGGGCUAAAUGCAUUUGUGCUAAGUUAUAACAUUUUAUAGACAACUUGUUGACUAUGAUUUAGUCAUUGUAGCUUACUCGCUUAUGUUAUUUUACCUACGCUUAGGAUGUUGAUGUGAUACUGCGAGCA